GUCAGGGGUGAGAGUAUAAACUGUAAGUAAUAACUGCACCUAGUGAUUGUUCAGUGACGCUCACUGUCCAAAGUUUACGUUUUCGUAUUACGGGAACCUUAGCAGGAUGUUUACAAAAGCAGUAAACUAAACAGAAACCAUUCCAGAACGAAUAGAGGGCUAUGGUGUAUUUAAUUCACAUGAAGAAGGAACUGAUGCAGAUUUGGGAGUAGAAACCUGCUGUCUCCAAAGAGAUCGUUAUAAGAUUAGGCUGUGUCAGAGGAACAAGUCAAUGAAACCAUGAAUCCACAAGCUCUUUAGGUGCCUUGGCUGCCCAUCCCUUCAAACUAUUGCUGGAAUCAGUGUCACAGCUGCUAGCCCCAAAAACCACUGGAAACACUUUAACCAAACAAGGGAAGACAUAGUAAAAGAAAAAAAAAAGCGCUGAUGCUAUAUUAU